rnacentral:lncRNA from 1 species
UAAACUUGAAUUAAUUUUAAAUUAAUUUCAACUUUACCAGUAAUACCAAAUACACAACAACAGAGAAAUCUCAGCUGCAAAGAUAUGGAGGAAGAAGAAGAUGAAUUUUCUUCAAGGAAACAUGAGGAACAUCUACGCUUGUCAAGAGGGGCGAAGAAUUUUCUUGUUCACUUCCAUGGUAGGGUAUUUAUACUUUGAAUUCUGUAUUAAAAGCGAGAGCUUUUCUAAGUCGAUGAUUUGGCUUACAAGGGAAAAGGAGAAGCAGAAAUCUACUGGAAUUCUUCAAAGAGAGCAUUUGCCUUUAUUCCACCGAAUAAAAAUGUUUCCACUGAAGAUGAUUUGAAUGUCAAGAAUGGGAAAAUCGAAGGAGGUACUAAAUCUGAGAUUCGGGUUUCGAUUGGGAACUGGAAGGAUGAACCUUCGUUGGCUUCUUGGGCGACAAAAGAAGGUUAUUCACUUAACCUUUACGCCUACUAAAAUCUAGUUUCUUUCUUUUUCUAUUUCUUGAAUUUUUUUUUUCUCGGGAAAAUUUAUAUUCCGUCAUUAUGUUCGAGGCAGAACUUGAGUGUCUUUAGUUUUAAAAUUUGCACAUUGUAAAUUGCAGUAGCGCUUUCACUUUGGAUUAACAAGACAAAGCUCUGAGAAUUUCAUGCAAUUUUCCUUCCAAACCUAAGAAUCCUUAUUCUCCAUAUAAAAUUUUUAUCAAUCAGUGAAUCUAGAUGAACCAAAAGUAGAGUGAAAUCCAAACAAACACAGAUCAUAAUAGUUGCUGUUGCCCAAUGAACCAGUAGUAGUGGAGUACAGUUAAUUAAAUAGUGUCUCACAAAUACAGAAAAUAUUGAAAGAUCAUAUUUGAAUUUCUAAAUUUAUUCAAACACAAUAACUCAAUAAGACCCACAAGCAUUGAAUGGAGUUACCUAGAAACAAGUUCUAAUACACUUACAAUUCAUUGAGUUUAGAACAUUUCCUUCAUCAAAUCAAAUACUCCACAUAAUUUGAACAGAAAAUUCAUCACCUUUCUCCUUGAUCCACACAACACUUUCCAUAGUUGGAGCUGCAUGCAAUCAUAUCCUUUCCAUUGAGUAAGACUUCUCCCAUAACUUUGAGGCCAAGAAUCACAGUUUACCCAAGAAUGAACCACCUGAAAAAAAAAAAAAAAAUCAAUUUAAUUCAACUGAGGAAUAGAAAGAAAAACGAGUUCAUAUUAGCCAUGGGAUAUGUGUGUUUGUUAACACAAAUAAAUAAUAAUAAUAAUAAUAAUGAUAAAUUAAAAAUAAUAUUUUAAAUUUUGAAAUUUCAAAUAUACAGAAUUAUACUCUUUUAUUGAUUUCACUUUUUGAAAACAUGAUUUAUCUUAAUUUUGUUUUAUUUCAACUUUAUAUACAUUUUGACUAAUUUAUAUGAUUAUAAUUCUUAGACUUAUUCUAGUCAACUUGAGAUUUUAACAAUAAUGAUCUCAAUAUCAUGUUAGCAUAAUAUAGCCAUACAUCAUAAAUAAUUUGAUAUAAUUGAAAUGAAACUAAUAAUUUAAAUUUAAUUAUUUUUUUGAAAAUAAUAUAUAAUUGAAAAAAAAUUAGAUCAUUAAACAUUCUUUUUAAUAUAUAGUUGGCAGUCACAUAUAUACAAACUAAUUUAAAAAGACAUUAUCAUUUAAAUAUAUUACUUAUGUAAUUAAUUAUAAGCAUUCAACUAUCUGUUAAAAUAUUUAUUAGGUAGAAUGUGUGUAACAAAAAGUGCUGUGUCUUAACAAUAAAAGCAAAGUAAUGUGUUCCUUGCCUUUGAUGAUGUCAGGCGAGUAGUGUUAGAUUGUCGUGGAAACUGAGAUGGAGGAUAUGUGUUUCACCUUGUCAAAAUCCUCUCCUUCAACUCCAUGUAUCACUUGAAUUUUCCUUGCAAAUUUUUUUUUCAUGUUAAUGACUUUCAGUUCUCGGAGUUUGGUGAUGAAUUCUAUUCCUUCUGGGAUUUUCUCCAAUUCCUGCAGCUUUUCUAAGUGCAAAAUCUUGAGGCAAGGCAUUGCACCCUCCUCUAUUUUCCAUUCUUGUACUCCAAGCCCUUCAAGUUUAAGAGUCUCAAGUUGAGGGAA